CCUACGGGAGGCAGCAGUGGGGAAUAUUGCACAAUGGGCGCAAGCCUGAUGCAGCCAUGCCGCGUGUAUGAAGAAGGCCUUCGGGUUGUAAAGUACUUUCAGCAGUGAGGAAGGUGGGUAUGUUAAUAGCAUACUCAUUUGACGUUAGCUGCAGAAGAAGCACCGGCUAACUCCGUGCCAGCAGCCGCGGUAAUACGGAGGGUGCGAGCGUUAAUCGGAAUUACUGGGCGUAAAGCGCAUGCAGGUGGUUUGUUAAGUCAGAUGUGAAAGCCCGGGGCUCAACCUCGGAAUUGCAUUUGAAACUGGCAAACUAGAGUACUGUAGAGGGGGUAGAAUUUCAGGUGUAGCGGUGAAAUGCGUAGAGAUCUGAAGGAAUACCGGUGGCGAAGGCGGCCCCCUGGACAGAUACUGACACUCAGAUGCGAAAGCGUGGGGAGCAAACAGGAUUAGAUACCCUGGUAG
rnacentral:rRNA from 1 species